rnacentral:lncRNA from 1 species
GCCCUGCCUCCCUCCCAGGGAUCUAUUGGAAGGCAAGGUACCUAGGGAGAGGAACGGGGUCAUUACAGGCAUAAGGGUUGUGGUUGGGAGGUGAAUUUUCCAGACAUAUGCCUGGGUCCAAAUCCUGGCUGUAGCUAUAUGACUUAGGCCAAGUAACUCUCUGUCUCUGUUGCCUUAUCUAUGCUGACUGUAUCUACUUCAUAGAACUGUAGGUGUAAGUGAAAAGCAUAUGUAAAUGUCAAAGUGCCUGGUCUGUAAUAAGUGUUCAAUAGUUAAUUAUGAGAAAACUGACCAAGCAAGCAUUAAGAGAGAAAGUGUGUUUAUAGUUUCCUGCAGUGAUGCAUUUCUUUGCUUGGUCUUACUUUCUACACGUGUCCCUUCCAGCUAAGGAUUAGAGGGGUUGUGGCAACCUGUAGCCAUAUAAGUGGUCUUAGAAGGGUUAUGAUCAUUUCCUCCCACAUGAAGUCUCUUUAGUAGUUUCCCAUUACUUUCUGGAUCCAGGCUAGACUUCUUAGCCAGCCAUUUCAGGACUUGACUCCUUUCUACCCUGCAUUCCACUGUUCUCUUGCCAGAAUAAUUUGCACCCUGAUUCAGCCAGUUCCCUAACUAUCUGUGUGUCCCCUCCUUGCACAUAACUGAGGUUCUGACUUUCAAGCCUUUUGUUAUGAUUUCCCCUUUGCCUGACCUGCCCAGGCUUCAUCUCUGCUAAAAUCCAUAGAAGUUCAGACCCAGUGAUGUCUCCUCAAAGCCUUUCCUGGUUUCUCUGGGGAAAAACUGUCCUUUCCCUGAGCAGUCUCCUCUGCCUGUGUUUAUGACCCCAAAGUUCAUGGCUUCUUGGGAUUAGGAAUUGUGUCUGAUUCAACAUUGGGUCUGACACUGAGUAGGUACUGAGUGAAGGAAUCGAUGGAUGCAUGGUGGACAGAUGAAUGGAUGAUGUACAGAACCACAAGCCAGAGUCAUUACUAAAAAGAAGCCUGCAGACUGGGCUGUGGUUGGAUCAGUAAGGGUCUGUCACAGGCUGCCAAGAGAAAGCCAAGGGGUCCAGGAAGUUGCUGCUGCUUGUGUGAACUAUAAACUUUCUUCUUCC